rnacentral:tRNA from 1 species
GCGAAAGUGGCGGAACUGGUAGACGCGCUAGACUUAGGAUCUAGUCCCUAAGGGGGUGGGGGUUCGAGUCCCCCCUUUCGCACCA